rnacentral:tRNA from 1 species
GCCUGGGUGGCUCAGUCGAUUAAGCAUCCGACUUCAGCUCAGGUCAUGAUCUCAGGAUCCGUGGGUUCAAGCCCCACGUCGGGCU